GAGAAGGGCAACAGGUGGCUGUCAACUUAGAGAGAAAGAGGGUCAUCAUCCACUUAGAGAAGAGCAGCAAGUCUGUCUGCCACUCCCCAGGCUCCACUAAGCUGAGCCAAGCACCAGCAGGAGGAGAGACUAAGAUGGAUUUGAUGGCCAAUGAUCAGGGAAGUUCAGGAACUCAGGCGGUAUUGGAAAGCGUUCCCAUCCCAUCCUGCUGGUCAGACUGAGUGGGCUGCAGAAUGAGAGCCAGGCUUGUGGUGAUCCACAGCAUCCUGGGGCUUCCGUGACUUAUCUUACCAGCUCUGCUCAAACAAGAUGGAGUACCAUUGAUCUGACAGAAUGAAGAAAGACCCUAAUUAACUCUGUAUUUACGCAACUU